rnacentral:rRNA from 1 species
GACAGAGGUGCCAAGCGUUAGGCGGAAUCACUGGGCUUAAAGCGUGUGUAGGCGGGCGGGCAAGUACCUUGUGAAAUCCCACGGCUCAACCGUGGAACGGCUGGGUAUACUGCCUGUCUUGAGCCAGCUAGGGGCGACCGGAACAGACGGUGGAGCGGUGAAAUGCGUAGAUAUCGAGAGGAACACCUGCGGCGAAGGCGGGUUGCUGGGCUGAUACUGACGCUGAGGCGCGAAAGCCAGGGGAGCGAACGGG